UACAGAGGUCUCAAGCGUUGUUCGGAUUCAUUGGGCGUAAAGGGUGCGUAGGCGGCGCGGUAAGUCGGGUGUGAAAUCUUGGAGCUUAACUCCAGAACUGCCUUCGAUACUGGCGAUCUCGAGUUCGGGAGAGGUUAGUGGAACUGCGAGUGUAGAGGUGAAAUUCGUAGAUAUUCGCAAGAACACCAGUGGCGAAGGCGGCUCACUGGCCCGAUACUGACGCUGAGGUGCGAACGCGUGGGGAGCAAACAGG
rnacentral:rRNA from 1 species